CUGCAUGAUCUCUCAAGAGGACUCAAUGUUCUUCAUAUGACAGCUCUGAGCCUCGGUUUCUUACUUCCACAGAAAGCACUAGAAUUGGUCCCAAAUAUCCUUCUCUAGUCUCUCAUUUGUUUAUCUUGAUUCCUCACCCCACCCCAUUUCACAUCCCCAGCACCAGUCCUGCCAUGGCAUAGGGGUCUGUUUGUGGUCUGAAAGGACAGAUUAAUAUCUAAAUUCUGUUCAUCCUCCAUGGCUCCAGAUCUCACCUCUUUCAUGGAAUCUAUUUCUACCAUGUCUAUUUCUGCCCUCAUUAAUCUCCUUUUCUCUACCACUGAACUAAGCACUUGAUGUACUUACUGCUUUGUAUUAUUCAUAUCUUGUGUGUUGAUAUUACUUCUUCAAUAAAAAGUGGGCAUAAGGCCUGGCGCGGUGGCUCACGCCUAUAAUCCCAGCACUUUGGUAGACCGAGGCGGGUGGAUCACAAGGUCAAGAGAUCGAGACCAUCCUGGUCAACAAGGUGAAACCCCGACUCUACUAAAAAUACAAAAAUUAGCUGGGCAUGGUGGUGCGCACCUAUAGUCCCAGCUAUUCGGGAGGCUGAGGCAGGAGACUUGCCUGAACCCAGGAGGUGGAGGUUGCGGUGAGCUGAGGUCGCACCAUUGCACUCCAGCCUGGGUAACAAGAGCGAAACUCCGCCUCAAAAAAAAAAAACAAAAAAAAACAGUGGGCAUAAACACAAAUCUUCGAGUGAUGAAGAAAGAAUGCAAAGCACUUCAUUAGAUAACCAUCUUCCAGCCUAUGUUUAGUGAUGGGCAGGGAUUAGGAAAGGGAGAGAAAUAACUGUAACCUCUGUGGAGUACCUAACAUGUGUACUGAAGACACAGUCCUUCCCCUGGAAGAACUCAGAACCUAGUAGAGAAGACUGACCUGGAAAGCCUACAGUUCAACAGUAGAGUUUAGCAGAAGGGAGGCCUUAGAAGUUUGUGAAGAAAGGUUCCAUGGUGUAAUAAUAGUGAGCAUUCUGGACUCUGAAUCCAGGGAUCUGAGUAGGAGUCUCGGUGGAACCUUUCUGUUGCCUGGCGGGGUGGCUCACGCACCUGUAAUCCCAGCACUUUGGGAGGCCGAGGCGGGUGGAUCACGAGGUCAAGAGAUGAGACUAUCCUGGUCAACAUGGUGAAACCCCGUCUCUACUAAAAAUACAAAAAAUUAGCUGGGCAUGGUGGCUCACGCCUGUAAUCCCAGCUACUCAGGAGGCUGAGGCAGGAGAAUUGCCUGAACCCAGGAAGUGGAGGUUGCGGCGCCAUUGCACUCCAGACUGGGUAACAAGAGCGAAACUCCGCCUCAAAAAAAAAGAAGUUUGUGAAGAGCAGGAUGCAUAUGCAUUUCAGUGCCACUUUUUUGCUAGAAAAACUUACUUGGCAAGAAAUAGGAGAGACAGACAACAACCAGUUUCCCAAAGAGGCCAGUUUCAAUCUUCAAUCAGUAUGAUAGGCAUAUAUUUUGAAAACAAAAUGGAUUUUCCUUCAUUUGUAUACAGCAACAUGAUUUAAACAGCUCCUUAUGUCAGCAUUAGGUUAUUUCUAGUUAACCGUACUAAGUAUUCUUUACAAUGAUAUUUUAUGUUUUACUGUCCUUUGAAAAGUAUGAAUUUUCUGCAGUUAAUUUCAUCCACUCAACUCUUGAGAGAAAACUGAAAUAAAAGGGCCAAGGAAAAAGUAACACAUAACGUUUGCUUUAGUCUCCAUUUCUUUUGUCUUUUUUUUUUUAAAGUUGGAGUCUCACUCUGUUGCCCAGGCUGGAGUGCAGUGGAGCAAUUUCAGCUCACUGAAGCCUCUGCCUCCUGGGUUUAAGCAAGUCAACUGCCUCAGUCUCCCAAGUAGCUGGGAUUAUAGGCACUUGCAACCACAGUUGGCUAAUUUUUGUAUUUUUAAUAGAGAUGGAGUUUCAUCAUAUUGGCCAGGCUGGUCUUGAACUCCCAACCUCAGGUGAUGUGCCUGCCUCAGUCUCCCAAAGUGCUAGGAUUAUAGGUGUGAGCCACCAUGUCUGGCCUCCAUCUCCAUUUUCAACACAUAUGUUCUCCCAAACAGAAAAGAACUUUUGUAUAGAGGAUGGAGUAUGAAACUUCUAAAAUGUGCAGACACAUAUUUUUAAAUACAAUUCAUGUUAAUAAAGGAGUAACUGACUCUUGCCAAAUAUUUCAUGAGUCUUAGCAACAAUUUUAAAUCAUUUCUCAAAUUCUAAACUUACUUCAGCAUGACCAAACACCUACCAUUGCUUAAAAAAAAAAAGCGCUAAACAAAAAGGUGCAACUUUUGAAGCAACAUCAAAGAAAAGAUAAAAUAUAAAUCUGGGGCAGUAACAUACAUCUAGACAUCAUUAUAUGCUUAAAGAAAACAACAAAAACAGUGCUAAAAGAAACCAAUCAAUCCUCACCCUUCAUCUUCAAAAUCAUGCCAGAAAUACUUCCUUCCUGGUAUAAGAGCUGGUAGAGGCCGGGCACAGUGGCUCAAGCCUGUAAUCCCAGCACUUUGGGAGGCCGAGGCGGGUGGAUCACGAGGUCAAGAAAUCGAGACCAUCCCAGUCAACAUGGUGAAACCCUGUCUCUACUAAAAAUACAAAAAAAUCAGCUGGGCAUGGUGGUGCGUGCCUGUAAUCCCAGCUACUCAGGAGGCUGAGGGAGGAGAAUUGCCUGAACCCAGGAGGCGGAGGUUGCGGUGAGCCGAGAUCGCGCCAUUGCACUCCAGCCUUGGUAACGAGCAAAACUCCGUCUCAAAAAAAAAAAAAAAAGAGCUGGGAGAACAUGGAAGGGUAGGAAGGGUGUGGCCCAGCCACUUAGGCUCUGAACUCAGGACUGAGGGCCCGAUAAGGGUGCCUUUUAUUUUUCUGUAAACCCCUACUUCCAAGUACAAAUGACUAAUCAAAAGUGUAACCA